rnacentral:rRNA from 1 species
AACGAACGCUGGCGGCAGGUCUAACACAUGCAAGUCGAACGCUCUAGCAAUAGGGAGUGGCGCACGGGUGAGUAACGCGUAGGAAUCUACCCAUUAGCCUGGGAUAACAGCGGGAAACUGCUGCUAAUACCGGAUACGCUCCUUCGGGAGGAAAGGUUUACUACUAAUGGAUGAGCCUGCGUUAGAUUAGCUAGUUGGUGAGGUAAUGGCUCACCAAGGCUCCGAUCUAUAGCCGGUCUGAGAGGACGAUCGGCCACACUGGGACUGAGACACGGCCCAGACUCCUACGGGAGGCAGCAGUGGGGAAUAUUGGGCAAUGGGCGCAAGCCUGACCCAGCCAUGCCGCGUGAGUGAUGAAGGCCUUAGGGUUGUAAAGCUCUUUUAGUAGUGAAGAUGAUGACAGUAGCUACAGAAAAAGCCCCGGCUAACUUCGUGCCAGCAGCCGCAGUAAUAC